CCAGCUCUCUUUGCCAUUAUGGCUUAGAUCAAGUGUAGUAUCUGUUCUUUUCAGUUUAAUCUCUGAAAGUAUUCUAAGGAAUACAACAUUGAUUAAUCUUAUUUUUUGGAUCCCGCAGGAAAAUCUCUGUGCUUGCGCAUGUUUUCCGGCACCGUGUCAUCAGUCUUACACUACCGCUGAUUGACGCGAAUUUUC
rnacentral:snRNA from 1 species